GGAGGAUUGCCAUCGCCCCAAUCUCUUGAUGAUGUGGACCGGUGUAUUAGUGCUGGAGGCUAAAGAGGCGGCUCCUUUGCGAAAGGAGUGCCCGGAGAAUGAAGUCGGAUUGAAACCCAGUUUAGAUAAUAGUGUUCUGACGUGAGACGUGAAUUUAGCAGUGGUAAGCGGGUGCCCUUGUAUAGAUAAGAGCGGAGAGUCUGGUAAGUGCGCAUGAAGAGUUGACCGUAGGUGGUCUAGCGCCUUGACCGGACACCAGGCAUUAUCAGUAGGGAAGAGAGGCAUUACAGUGGGGUGUAG